rnacentral:rRNA from 1 species
CCUACGGGAGGCAGCAGUGAGGAAUAUUGGUCAAUGGGCGCGAGCCUGAACCAGCCAAGUAGCGUGAAGGAUGACUGCCCUACGGGUUGUAAACUUCUUCUAAGGGGGAAGAGCAGAAGACGGUACCCCUUGAAUAAGCCACGGCUAACUACGUGCCAGCAGCCGCGGUAAUACGUAGGGGGCAAGCGUUUUCCGGAUUAACUGGGUGUAAAGGGCGUGCAGCCGGAGAGACAAGUCAGAUGUGAAAGCCACGGGCUCAACCCGUGAACUGCAUUUGAAACUGUUUCACUUGAGUGUCGGAGAGGUAAUCGGAAUUCCUUGGGUAGCGGUGAAAUGCGUAGAUAUAAGGAAGAACACCAGUGGCGAAGGCGGAUUACUGGACGAUAACUGACGGUGAGGCGCGAAAGCGUGGGGAGCAAACAGGAUUAGAUACCCUGGUAGUC